CCCUUAGACGUUCUGGGCCGCACGCGCGCUACACUGACCAGUGCAACAAGCAUCCGUCCUUGGCCGACAGGCUCGGGCAAUCUUUGAACGCUGGUCGUGAUGGGGAUAGACUUUUGCAAUUUUUGGUCUUCAACGAGGAAUUCCUAGUAAACGCAAGUCAUCAACUUGUAUUGAUUACGUCCCUGCCCUUUGUACACACCGCCCGUCGCACCUACCGAUUGAAUGGUCCGGUGAAGCCUCCGGAUUGGCGCGCACCUCGGUGCCGCCGAGAAGUUGGCUAAACCUUACCAUUUAGAGGAAGGUGAAGUCGUANCA
rnacentral:rRNA from 1 species